CGCGCCCGCUAUGUAUGAAAAGGCGAGAGUGGCGGCUCAACUGCAAGCGGAGUCGAGGGCUCGCAAAGCUGCUGCAGCACGGCGACGCAGACAAUUUAUUAACAAGCGGACCCGGAGUCUAGGCAUAGCCUAUGGUCUAGGGCGCCGGGAAUUAAGCUGCAGCAGCACGGCAACGCCGGCAUGCAGACCCGGACCUGAGGGCUCGCAAAGCUGCAGCAGUGCGGCAACGCCGGCAAGCGGACCCGGAGCUGAGGGCUCGCGAAGCUCGCGCUUGAACCGAGCAUCGGCGCCAUCAACCUCAAGUAGAGAACGCUUCCGGCGUUUUGCCGCCGUUUCCCGCGCUCUCGCCGACUCUGGGUCCGCAUGCCGCAUGCCGGCGUCGCGCUUGAACCGAGCAUCGACGCCACCAACCUCAGGUAGAGAACGCUUCCGGCGUUUUGCCGCCGCUUCCCGUGCUCUCGCUGCCUCUGGGUCCGCUUGCCGGCGUCAGGGGAUUCACGGUUAACCGAAUGAUUCCCCGGUGCUUCGCCCACUCAUCAUCAUUCACUUCGUGGAUAUGCGGUGAUUUUUUCUGGUGACUUGUGAAAUGCGUAUGCCAAAAAUAAAAUAAGCUUUCGUGCGUUCGACCCAUGCGCGCAGCAUGGGAACUGUACGUGUGCAGAUUGGCUCAAAAAGAUACCUUGUCUAUCGUAUCACCCCCUCCUUUGUCGGUAUUGGUGUUAUCUUGAGUUCCUCAUCAGUAGCGAUGGCCGUUGAGGUUAAAGAUAACACGCCGAACUGUAAACGUCAACAGGCCACACGCAGGCGCGCGGCGGCGGUGCUGCGCUUCGGCUAUCCCGUUCACGUAGUGACUGCAGAUCCAGAUGGGAUUAUUGUGAGUUCCUCGUCAGGUAGCGAUGACCUUCGAGAUGUAAGAUAACACGCCGAACCGUAAACGUCGGAGGCCACAAGCGGACGCCCCGGCAGUGUUGCUUGGGUUAUCUCCAUCACGCAGGAUCUUGAGGGGAGGCCCUGCGGUCACUGCCCCCCAUUCCCGCCUUCCUGGACGCUACCCUGGAUCCGCCCCCCUGUUCAAUAGGCUACAGAUGCUCAAACUUCAGGUGCAGCCAGCAGUAUUGCAACUUCCAAACCCUGUCCGAACAAUCCAGUGACUUCAGAGAGACUGCAAGUGCAUGCCCACCAAGCCUCCACAGCUGCAUGUAAAGCUUUGGUGAAGGCGACAGCCAUGACCACAGCCGAAGCCACAGCCUGAGUUGCAACACGUAACAAAGCACAUCCUCUCUGACAUGCUGCCGCAAGCAUUCUCGCCACAGCCUGCCAACCAGGAGUCACAGUGUUAUCACUGCAUGUUCUCACUGCCUAAAUUUGGAAUCAAGCCAUGAACACUAAUCCAUCUUUGAUAGGUCACCACUUGCGUCCAGUGGGGGCCAGCAUGUUGCAGAAUGAGCAACCUAAACUGGUACUUCCACCUCAGUGGUCACCAACGAGAUCCCCAUCUAUUCACUGACCUCCACUGACGUUCACUUCGCAUUGAAGAUGUAGAAGACUGGCUCGACGACUAUGACCGAAUGUGUCUAUGCCUCCUACAAAAUGUCCAAGAAGUUGGCUGGGUUGUUCGGGCUUUGCCAGGGAUUCAGCUCGACCAUCCUCUUCUCGGAAAGCAUCCACUUGUUUGCUCUGUUACAUGACACAGCAGUUUGAUACACAAUUUAUUUACAAUUUUGAUAGUGAUAUGACUGUUUGCUGAUUGCCACCAAUGCUUUUCUUGUCUGGAACAAGUGUAAUGGCAAAUCUGCUUUCUGCCCUGCCACUCUACUGAAAUGAUGCAAAAAAAGUUAUAGUUUAAGUAACUGAUAUGUAAUAAUCAGGGUGAAUGAAAAAGGCAGUAUACUAGCAUAGAACAUAAUAUAUAGCAUGGGAUUGUGCCUGUCUUCAGAGAUCUGUACUCGUUUCAGUGACAGAAAUGCUAAAUGGUAGAUAAGUCAACUUCAGUACUUUGUAGCUUCAUCUACUUUUGGUAAAGCACUGGAAAAGGGUCAUGGAAAAUAUUAACAGUGUACAAAUAGAGUAAAAUUGUUGUUUGUUUAAUGCACAGAAAUACCCGUCGUGAUUGCUCAGUGGCUAUGGUGUUGAGCUGCUGUGCACAAGGUCGCGGGAUCGAAUCCUGGCCAUGGCGGCCGAAUUUCGAUGGGGGCGAAAUGCAAAAACACCCAUGUACUUAAAUUUAGGUGCACGUUAAAAAACCCUAGGUGGUCCAAAUUUCUGGAGUUCCCCACUAUGACAUGUUUCAUAAUCAGAUUGUGGUUUUGGCAUGUAAAACCCCAUAAUUUUUUUUUUUUUGAUGCACAGAAAUGUGGCAGUCUUCUUUACCGCCAAAAAAUGUGGUGCCUUCUAACCUUUAUAAAUGCUGUGUUCAUUUAUUUAUUUAUUUUAGUUUCAUAUUAUUUUCUUUCAUAUUAAUUGCUUUCAUUCAUAUUAUUCUGUUAAUUCAUAUUGUCGUGAAUGCAGCAUUAUUCAUAUUUCAUUUCAUCUGCUUCAUGUGUUCAGAAAUUAAUCGAUGCUGUUGUUGUGCUGCAUUGUAUGAAUUUAAUGUGAGAAAAAGAUGUAGUACUUUGCUUAAUAGAUGGUUGCAUAUUACAGUGUUACAUAAACAAAGUAAUUUGACGGUUUAGGCAUAAUGUCAAAAUUGCAUGCCAGAUCUGACCUCUAGUAUUGCCAGAGGGAGUUUGUAUUCAGAAUGUUUAUUUACGUAUACAGAGAUAGAAACUUGUUUGACGCAUGUGCUGCAUCAGUGCUCUGCUGCCACAACAGUAAUACAUGGUUGGAUAGUCCAAGAUUAUUGCAUAUUUUGCCUACAAGUGUGGCAAUUCUUUUUGGUUGCCUAAGUGUAGCACUCUAGUUCCAUCAAGUGUGUUCGCAUUGUUCACAUUGCCUUCGUGCACUCCAUGUAACAUUGCAGGUUCCUUGACGCCGGGGUCCCAGGAAUGGUACCAGUUAUUCGUGUCCGUGAGUGGAAGGCUGCAUUCCUGCCGGCUGUGCACCUAUGUGUCC